rnacentral:rRNA from 1 species
CCCUUAGAUGUUCGGGGCCGCACGCGCGCUACACUGAAGGAAUCAGCACGUCUUUCUCCUUGUCCGAAAGGACUGGGUAACCCGCUGAACCUCCUUCGUGCUAGGGAUUGGGGCUUGUAAUUCUUCCCCAUGAACGAGGAAUUCCCAGUAAGCGCGAGUCAUAAGCUCGCGUUGAUUACGUCCCUGCCCUUUGUACACACCGCCCGUCGCUACUACCGAUUGGAUGGUUUAGUGAGAUCCUCGGAUUGGUCCCGGAGCGGCCUCUGGUCGUGCCGGAGUGCCGAAAAGAAUGUCGAACUUGAUCAUCUAGAGGAAGCAAAAGUCGUAACA